UACGUAGGGUGCGAGCGUUAAUCGGAAUUACUGGGCGUAAAGCGUGCGCAGGCGGUUGUGGAAGACAGAUGUGAAAUCCCCGGGCUCAACUCGGAGUCUGCAUCAGAAACUGCCGUGCUCGAGUGUGGGAGAGGUGAGUGGAAUUCCCGGUGUAGCGGUGAAAUGCGUAGAGAUCGGAAGGAACAUCAGUGGCGAAGGCGACUGUCUGGACAGAUACUGACGCUGAGGCGCGAAAGCGUGGGGAGCAAACAGG
rnacentral:rRNA from 1 species